AUUGAACGCUGGCGGCAGGCCUAACACAUGCAAGUCGAGCGAGCGGCGGACGGGUGAGUAAUGUAUGGGGACUGCCCGAUAGAGGGGGAUAACUACUGGAAACGGUAGCUAAUACCGCAUACUAUCGGAUAACCCAUAUGGGAUUGGCUAGUAGGUGAGGUAAUGGCUCACCUAGGCGACGAUCCCUAGCGGGUCUGAGAGGAGGAUCAGCCAAACUGGGAGUGAGACACGGCCAAGACUCCUACGGAGGCGGCAGGGGGGAAUAUUGGAAAAGGGGGGAAAGCCUGAUGAAGCAAGGCCGCGGGUAUGAAGAGGGCCCUAGGGUUGUAAAGUACUUUCAGUCGGGAGGCGUUACCGACAGAAGAAGCACCGGCUAACUCCGUGCCAGCAGCCGCGGUAAUUC
rnacentral:rRNA from 1 species